GCUGUGAUGGCCGAGUGGUUAAGGCGUUUCAUCUGAAAUCCAAUGGGGUUUCCCCACGCAGGUUCGAACCCUGCUCUCUGCU
rnacentral:tRNA from 1 species